AACCCAGCACCUCAAGUGGUCAGGAUGAUUAUUGGGCCUAAAGCAUCCGUAGCCUGUCCUGUAAGUUUUCGGUUAAAUCUGUAUGCUCAACAUACAGGCUGCCGGGAAUACUGCAGGACUAGGGAGUGGGAGAGGUAGACGGUACUCGGGGGGAAGUGGUAAAAUGCUUUGAUCUCUCGAUGACCACCUGUGGCGAAGGCGGUCUACCAGAACACGUCCGACGGUGAGGGAUGAAAGCUGGGGGAGCAAACCGGAUUAGAAACCCGGGUAGUCC
rnacentral:rRNA from 1 species